AUGCCAAUACUCCACAUGAUGGUAGAAGAUAACAUGGCAUUUUUUAAUGCGGGUGGU
rnacentral:antisense_RNA from 1 species